rnacentral:tRNA from 1 species
GCGUGUGUAGCUCAAUCGGAAGAGCGGCGGAUUCCAAAUCCCCCAGGUGGAGGUUCGAGCCCUCCCCCACGUG